UUCACAUUAUGUUUGUUGCUCCGUAAAUUGUUUCUUUCAUUGCGUAUUAAGCAAUAAGUUUGUCUUUCAGUUUUAUAGGCCUGUUAUUAUAUUAGCCUAUAUUAUAUUAUAUUAUAUUAUAUUAUAUUAUAUUAUAUUAUAUUAUAUUAUGCAUUCAAUCAAAUCAAGUGUAUAACAAAUUAAAUAUAGGCUAUAGUAUUAUUAUGCAUAGACACAAUCGUAUACUUGAGUGUUUAUGUUGUUGGCACACCUUUGCAAAGGUGAGAGAGUGAUGGAGCGAGCGAGCGAGCGAGCAAGAGAGAGAGAGAGAGACGCUGUGAGCUCGUACUGCAGUCGCGCUCCUCAUUUCAUUUGCUUAACUCUUGAAAAAGUGAGCCCAGGGGUGGAAAUCCCUUAACGAAUAUUUUCACGCCUGGAAAUGAUUUAGACAGUGAUGAAGGCUGUAAACUUCCACGAGUGGGCGAUGACAGCGAGUGUAUCCUAGCGCUCCUUUACCAGUGACUCAUUGGGAGAAAGAUAGAAACGUGGAUUUUCAGCCUUGUAUUAAUUGGAAAAUAAACUUAAACGCGCGCGUGGGGAAGUGUACGGGCGUGUGCCGCAUCAUCCAUUUGAAUCGCUUUCGAGACUUUAUCCGUCGUUCUCGUGGGCUUGAAGACACCAGAUACAGUUCACAAUAUCAGCUCUUCAGGUUUUAGGAAGAGAACGCGUCUAUUAGAAUCCGCUCACCCCGCGGCUCGCUUGAGAUGGUUCAGUCCAGCUGCGAGGGUCCAGUCUCCAUGCACUGGGAUUUUUCUCAGCGCCGACACCAAGUGAAUCUUCCUUUUAAAACCAUCUGAUAACCGUGCCUGCCAAAAAAUAGCCCACCAUGAGCGCCUCUUUGAAUACUGACAGAACGGGAAUCGUGAGGACAGAGUGCAGAUGUACAUAUAACGGGACGAGGAAACUGGAUGGUAUAAGGAUUUUUGCGCUAAUGAAGGUGGGAGUACAGGCGCAUCACUGGAGCGGGGUGCUGUUCUUCUAUAUGGGGCUGCUGGCUGCCUCGGUUAAGGGUGAGUUUCCCGUUAUGCUGCAUGUGGUCCUGUUGCCGUGCGCGCAACCCUCUUGGAGGCUACAUAUGCGACCCUUUUACCCCUGACAUGUGGAUUGAGUGCUGCCAUUGUCAAUUCUGUGCCAACACUAUGCCAUUUAAUGUCGGGUCAUGCGUUUCAUUGAAACGGAUCUACCAGACAUCAUUGGAUAUAAGCAGCAGACUCACUAGAGAAACAUACCAGUCAACAACAUGAAGAGGUUUUACACACAGUAGCCAAGUGUGCCGUUUAUUUGUGCGUGAAAGUGUUUUAAUUUAAAACAGCCUUGUGUAGCCUACUUUCCAUAGUGCAUUUGGUGUUAUUUCUUGCCAACCUUGGUCUGCCCCAUGUUGGCAUAAUAUGUUGCACUAUGCUUUGAAUAACACCUCAGAGCAAGAUGUUGGAUUUUUGGUGGGUGCGCAAGAAGUGGUACUUUAGUUUUAAGGCAAAAUGGGUUAAUGGAUAAAGAUGUAGACGAACCAUUUCUGAAAAUAUAUAAAUGUGUGUGUGGCGCAAGAUUUCGUGAGUGUGGGAGCCAAGAGUGAAUGAGUGAGUUUGGGAGGAAGGGGGGCGUAUGGUGGAGGCUGGAGAGAGAGGGGUUUCAUGCCAACAAACAGGUCUUGACUCUGCGCUAUUUUCAACCUUUAUUUACCAUAAUAGGAUAUUCUUCCUCGUCUAAAUGUGUGCGCAUUCCAUCGUCCAAGAGUUGGUAGGCAUUUCCAACCAACUAUCCAUCCGUCAUUUACCUUGACGGGAAGUUGUAGUCAGAUUGCUGAUUGGUUUUAAACCCAAAAUUAGCUAAAAACAAGUGUCAUGAUAUACACUGAAAGGAUUUAUAGUUUCCCUUUUAACACCGUGAAUGUCGUUCUAACAUCUCAUUUUUUGUUCGACAUAGGCGAAAAAUAACUCAAAAAUAAGUCAAAUGCCAUGUCUAAAUUAUGCCAGAUAAUUUUAUACAUUCUUUUUUAUUGAACUAUCCCUUUAAUUAAGCAGCAUAUUGAACACUCUCGAGCUACUGCGAUUCAAGCCUUGUUUUCCUCAGAGUUGAUGUUACUUAGGACAUGGUGAUAAAAGUGGUAAACGAAUCCACAAAGCCGGUCGACAUUUUAUGUGUUUAACGGCGUCGAAUAAGUAAUAUUAAGAGCAGAAUGUUCUGCGUCUUUGACUGAGUCUGUAAAGCGCUCGCGGAGCCGUUGAACAGUUUCCCUGUUUUUCCAUUGAGCGGCACUAAAGCUUCAGAAUAGCUGCGUUUACACAGAGCCGGCGUAGUGCCGAAUUCUGACCCCCGCCAGAUUAUUACCCACUAGAAUUGGUAGGUUUAGGGUUAGGUGUGCGGUUAGGAUUAGUGUUGGGGUUAGGAUUAGGCAAUCAGGUAGCGAUUUUAACGAGGGAGUAAUAAUUUGGCAGAAAGUCGAAGAUGGCCACAACACCGGCAGUGGAGUCUCUCAUGCUUCAUUAAUAAACCGAGUAUAUCUUGUAAGCCUUUUAGAGUUUUCGUGUUAGCGCAUAAACUAUGGCUGGUGAAAUAAAACUGACUUAAAAAAAAAAAAAUAAAUAAAUUAUAGGAAAUGCAAAUAUAACGCCUCUUCAGCUACUGGGGCAUGGCUCAGCAUGAACUCAGCAUGUAACCUGUAGGGUCAUUGCAUAUUGACAAACUGCUGAUUGAAAACAGGGCAUAUACAUUAAAUUGCAUGAAAUGUUCUUAAAUAUGUAAACAGUUUUAACCGGAAAAUGAACAAUUCGACCCGUUUUAGUUAACUCUAAUUUACCUUACCAUAUAGUAGGUAAAAAUUUAAAUAUUUCUGAGAAUAUUCAUGUAAUUUUACUGUAAAAUAGAAUAUAUUUAUAUAAAUGUGUAUUAG
rnacentral:lncRNA from 1 species